UACAGAGGGUGCGAGCGUUAUUCGGAUUCAUUGGGCGUAAAGCGCGUGUAGGCGGUUCGAUAAGUCUGAUGUGAAAUCCCAGAGCUCAAAUCUGGAAGUGCAUUGGAUACUGUCGGACUAGAGUGCAGGAGAGGAGAGCGGAAUUCCUGGUGUAGAGGUGAAAUUCGUAGAUAUCAGGAGGAACAACAGUGGCGAAGGCGGCUCUCUGGACUGUUACUGACGCUGAGACGCGAAAGCGUGGGGAG
rnacentral:rRNA from 1 species